rnacentral:rRNA from 1 species
UACGUAGGGGGCAAGCGUUGUCCGGAUUUAUUGGGCGUAAAGAGCGUGUAGGCGGCCAGACAGGUCCGUUGUGAAAACUCGAGGCUCAACCUCGAGACGCCGAUGGAAACCGUCUGGCUAGAGUCCGGAAGAGGAGAGUGGAAUUCCUGGUGUAGCGGUGAAAUGCGCAGAUAUCAGGAGGAACACCCGUGGCGAAAGCGGCUCUCUGGGACGGUACUGACGCUGAGACGCGAAAGCGUGGGGAGCAAACAGG